rnacentral:sRNA from 1 species
UGCAUCUGUGGCCUGUGAGGAUGAGAACCUCCGGGGGCAGGAGGUUCGACUCGAGCGAAGCGAGAGAACGUUGCGUCAGCAACGGCGUGGUGAGUCAUCCUCUAUCACCGACCA